AACGAACGCUGGCGGCGUGCCUAAUACAUGCAAGUCGAACGCAGUGGGGACGGGUGCUUAACACGUGGGUAACCUCCCCAUCAGAGGGGAUAACACUUGGCAACAGGUGCUAAACCGAUACUGCUGGAUGGACCCGCGGUGCAUUAGCUAGUUGUGGAGGUAACGGCUCACCAAGGCCACGAUGCAUAGCCGAGCUGAGAGGGUGACCGGCCACACUGGGACUGAGACACGGCCCAGACGCCUACGGGAGGCAGCAGUAGGGAAUCUUCGGCAAUGGACGAAAGUCUGACCGAGCAACGCCGCGUGAGUGAAGAAGGUUUUCGGAUCGUAAAACUCUGUGGUUAGAGAAGCGGUAUCUAACCAGAAAGCCACGGCUAACUACGUGCCAGCAGCCGCGGUAAUAC
rnacentral:rRNA from 1 species